AGAGAGAGAGACCUGACUCUGGUCACUGUGUUGGGUGUACCACACUGACUAGGUGAAAGCUCAGAAUGGGAAAAACUCAGUAACUCAUUCACGCAUGACUGAGAUUGACAGAGAUUGAGUGAAAUUCCACCACUCAUCUAAGCAUGGCAUGAUGUGCACGCCAAAGUUUGUAGCUUUCUGAAGUCUAAAUCACCAAGAAGAAGAAGAAAAACCCAGAUGCUAUCACCUACCAAGUCUAUGGAUUACGAAAGGAUCCAAAAGCCUCAGGUGCCUUUUGCUUCUUCUUCUUUCACAUAAUGUGCUUCAUUUCAUUCAUGUUUUUACUUCAUGUUGAGUCCAAAUGUGUAGUAUGUUAAGAGAAAAUUACAAAACGAAGCAUCGCUUUCAAAGCUUGUCUCUUUUCCUCACUUCAACUGUGUGAAAGACACAACCUUUUUUGAUCUGUCAAUUUCAGGAGACCCACAUAUUUGGCUCAAAGUUUGUGUCUUUCUGUUGGGUUUUUGGGUAUAAACUCAGAUACCCAGUUGGAAGAGUGUGGUUUUUGAUGUGAAUUUUGGAAGUGCAGGUUGGUGGUGGUGGGGGAUUUUCACCUGGGAAGUUGAGGACUAUGCUACUUGGGGUAGAGAAGAAGAGGAAGGAGCAGGGAGAUUCUGAAUCUACUUUCAAUUUGAGAUCUCAAGCUUCUGAAUUUGAAGGGAAUGGUAUGUUAUUUUUCCUUUCAAUUUUUGAAUCCUAGAAGAUAGCAGUUAAAGUUCACAUCUUAAUUGUACUUGUACUACUAUAGCAAAUGUGAAACUAUGUCAUUUGGCAAUUGGGUGCUGCAAAAGAUUCACUCUUUAUACUUUAUUUGGCAGAUAAGAUUAAUGCAAACUAACACAAGACAUAAGAGUUGGGAUGUUUGACUAAUUCUAAUGUUGCAGGUGGUGCUGAUAACUGCAAAGACGUAGAUGUUGUGAGUGUUCAUCCUGAAUGCUCGACUUCAACUGCUGUUGAUUCAUCAGGCUCAGAGAUGAUGAGUGACCGCAGCUUGAAGGAUAAUGCAUUAGGCAAUUUCAGAGCUAGGAAUCAAGAACACCCGUCGUUGGAUUAUGAUAGUGGACAUGAUGCAAUGAGUACUGUGUCCUCUUCCAUCUUUGAGUUUCAGAAGGCAGAAAGGGGCACACAAAGACUGCCUCUUGCACCUUUCUCCAAACCAGCACCAUCCAAAUGGGAUGAUGCUCAGAAGUGGAUAGCAAGUCCAACUUGGAGCAGGCCAAAGAGUGGGCAAGGAGUUGGAUCACGAAAGGCGGGUAAUCUAGGUUAUGGAAGUCGCCAACCGACGACAAAGGUUGUUGUUGAAGUUCCAGAUUCAAAAGUAGCUAACUUUGAAGAGCCAGAUACCAAACGGAUUGACACAAAUCAAACUAAGAUGGAAACUGGGGGGCAGAAGUUUGUUAACUGGGAGGCUGAGCCCUACCCCAUUGCCGAUUCUUACAUCAAGCCUGUGCUCAUGAUCGAAAAUUCUGUUGGAGAGUCAGCAAGUAAGAUUGUGCUUUCUGUUUUCCUUAUCUUCUUCUUUUGUCUAGUUCAGUUAAGAUUAUUGUUUCAUGGCUACAUCAUUCACUACAGAAUAAGAUUUUCAGCACUGCAAUCAAUCUACCGAUAUAUACUAUAUCAUGUGUUCUGAAAUGUUGUUAAUACUUAAUACUACCACUAGAAAUUAUUGAUGAUUGAAUAUGUUAAGGAUCAGUACUUCGCAAUCUCAAAAAAAAAAAAGGAUCAGUACUUUGGUAGGGACAAAGUUUGGUUACUACUGUUUUAUAAAAAAAGAACGAGUAUGUAAACUUUGAUAGAAUGGAUGCUCAUCAUGUCCUUUAUGGUUGUUAUGGAUGACUUUGAGGACAACAAUGAAGAAUAUGAGGCCUGGACAUCUCAAAAUUUCAUUGCUGCUUUAUAAGUUUAAAAGCUUCCAUAUAGGAUUGUCUAAGCCUGAUAAUAAUAAAUAUAUCAGGAUUAUGGUCAGAAUGUGGUGGAUUGGCAAUAACGUGAGAAUAGUUAUUAGUUUCAUUGCUGGUCGUAAUGAAAGGUGUAGGUAGCUUAUAUGUUGACACCAACUGUGUUAGAAGAUGAAACCUUUUCUGCACGAUGUUAUUCAUGCUGCACUUAGGUUUGAAACACACAUCAACAUAUGUAAGAAGACUUAAGAAAAUGGGGUUAUUGAUACUGAAAUUAUGUGUAUUGAUUCAGGAUUAGUCCAAUAUACCACAAAAUAGUUGGGGUGGCUGAGGUGCUUGGAAUUAUUACUAAAACUUAUUUUUGCUUGUUCCAAUAUCUAAAACACUACAUCUGGCAUAUGAUAUUUGUAGUCAAUCUUAGCCGGCUGGAUUCUUCUGGAGCCUUCCAUGGGACGACGACAUUUAUUCCUCCCCCUUCAACAGCAAGGUCUGUGUCCAUGAGAGAUAUGGGUACAGAGAUGACACCAAUUGCUAGCCAGGAACCUUCCAGGACUGGAACUCCAGUGGGGGCAACAACACCAAUUCGUAGUCCAACUAAUUCAAGGCCGUCUACUCCCUCCAGAGCUGCACAAGCUUCAUCUCCCAAUGCUCCAUCUAUUGAUCACAUAGGUCCUAACAAGGAGCUGUCUGAGAAAGAGAAAACUAGGCGAGAGAUAAUGGCUCUUGGGACACAGCUGGGUAAGACGAAUAUUGCUGCCUGGGCUAGCAAAGAAGAGGAUAAAGAUGCAUCAACAUCAGUAAAAUCUGCAGCAUCAGAACAACUAGCUAGGAGUAUUAUUGAGACACGUGCAGCAGCAUGGGAGGAGGCUGAGAAAGCCAAGUAUUUGGCUAGGUUAGUAUAUGCAUGCCCUUUGUGUUUUCUUCACUGAUUUCCAUUUUGAUACCCCUAGAAUACUAAAUGUAUUAAUAUCUGUCUAUAUAUCUAUAGAUAGAGAUAGCUAAAGCUUUAAAAGUAUACUAUUCUACCGAAGUUCCAAAUACUCUGAAGACUGAGGAAUGUUGCAAUGAUAGGAGAUGGAUUUCAGGCACAUACUAAAGAAGUAAAUUUCAGUAAGGUCAAAAGAUAGAUGAAAAGAAUUCCAUCUCUUACAAUUGUAACUUAAUUGUUGGCUCAUCAAAGUCAUUAUGCUCUGGUUGUUCUAUGUUACAAUUCAUGCUGUAAUGAUAACUGUAAUUGUCCAGGUUUAAACGUGAAGAGAUGAAAAUUCAAGCGUGGGAGAAUCAUCAGAAAGCGAAAUCAGAAGCAGAGAUGCGGAAAGUCGAGGUACUUUAUUCAACGAGCUUCCUUCAAUGACCUGUUAGUGAACUCAAAUUUCUAAUCGAUGGAGUCUCUUGGUUUAUUGAAACUGACAGCUGAAUUUUCCAGGUAGAAAUCGAAAGGUUAAGGGGACGGGCACACAGUAAGCUAAUGAAUAAAAUAGCAGCUGCAAGGCAUAAGGCUCAAGAAAAGCGAGCAGCAGCGGAGGCCAAGAAAAACCAGCAAGCUGCAAAAACGGAGCAACAAGCAGAGCACAUUCGCAGAACUGGCCAGGUCCCUUCCACAUUUUGUUGUUGGGGUUGGUGCUCUUGAUGUUCGAGUCACUUUGUACCCUUUUGUCGAUUUUCUGUGAAUUGCAUUGUAUGUCCAUGGUCAAACACCGUAGGAUGUCCAGCCUUCAUGUAGAAACCAAAAAACUCUGAUUUAGAGCCAGUCGAUUCCUUUGUUCAUCACGACGACAGAAGAGUAUUAGGAUUCAAGUGUUUAACAGCAUAGUAAUGUACCUGCAUCUAUCAUUCUAUCUAGUAAUGAGUAAUCUAGUAUCUUCCAGCAAUUCAAUGCAUACAGCAAUGCACAAAACGAUAUCAUCUAAGAUCACCUCAAGGAUCCACCAUGUGCACACUAUUUACUCCCAUACUUUUGUAAUGUAGCCCACAAGUAAUUGUAACAUCCUUCAAGCCCAAACAGAAAAACAUCCUCAAGGCCCAAACAGCAAAAAGAAAAAAGACGGGAAGAUAUAAGCCAAAACCUAGAUCAGAACUCCGUCUCCUUCCUCACUUCAACCUCUCGCAUCCCAAUCUUCAAGCCCGAUAAGAAGUCUAAUCUCAUCUCAAUCCCAAACCAAUCCUUAUCAACCUCAUCUCAAUCCCAAAACAAACCUCAAUUCUUCUGUUCAUCACAACAAUAGAGAUGGAUAUGCCGAUCUACCUACAGUUUGUCGUCGACUCUGAGUAUGACGCUGCUAGGCGUCGGAGCGUCUUUCGGCAUCGGUGGUAUGUGAUCGAGGAGAGAGGUGAUCAAGAAACGGCCGCAGAUGAUGAGUUGGGGGAGGAACACUGGAUCGUUAAAAGUGUACAUGAUAGAGUCAGACAUCUGCGUCUUCCCCAUCUAAAUUAUGAUCUCGAUCAUUCCUUUUUCGCCGUCUCCAACUCCCGUUUAUUCUUCGUCGGUGGCUAUACCACCCAUGGACCGGGUAUCCAUGAAGGCAAUGGAAUUCUCCACAUUGACUUACAACGGAGCGACCUCUCUUGGGAGAGAUGCGAUAAAGGGGCUCAAGAGUUCAAAUUUGUGGGUGGGGUGGCGGUUUGCGAUAACGGCGAUUCAAUUUAUGUGCUGGCAUCAACUAGGCAUAGGUUGCAGUUGCUCCGCUUCGGCUGCCGCAACGUCGAAGAAGGGGAGAUUAUGUCCCUCCCUCCGCCUGCUGAUUUUUGGCCAAGAUUCUGUUUUGCUGUGUCUGGGUCCAAGAUGCUCCUGUAUAGGCCUCCGCUCUUGGGCAUGGAAGACGAACCGUCUCAUUUCGGCUACUAUAAUCUGGAAAAUAAAUAUUGGGAAGAGAGCAUAUCCGUUCCGGGCACCAUCCCUGCAAGAAGCUGGGGCUUUAAGCCGUCGGCGCUCUACCGCAUCGUGCUGGUGAAAGAAUCGUUUCUGAUACACUUUGAACGUUUGGGUUCCCCUCCCAAGGUGCCGGACUGUGGUCCGGGUUUGUAUGUUUAUGAUAUUCUGGGUUGUAAAUGGCUCUCCAAACCAGUCCAGGGUCUCCCAAACGAUGACUACGUCCUUCCCUCCGUGGAAACUGAACAGCCUAUCAGGUACGCAUACCUGAUGCAAGUCCGGAGAGAUGUACUGAAAUUGGCUCUUGUUUGGACCAGGGACGGGGCCGACUACGACGACGGCACCGUCAGCGACCAGACUGAAGUUCAUUGGACCAAAUUCAUACUCCGCAUCGAAGACCAAGACAAUAAUCUCCCAACCUUCUACGCUGAAUGCUUGUCUUCUGGAAUCUGUUACGGUGGCAAUACCAGCUUGGCCAAUUGCUCCGCUGGAUAGGAUUGAUGCCUCUAUAGAAUGUUGCAAAACCAAUUUGUUGGUAAAAUGUCACUAUUACAGUAAUGAAUCAGUUUCACCUUCCUUUUUACUUCUUUUUGUUUUUGAUGAACUAUGAGGCCCCGUUUGGUUAGCAAGAAUCUCAAGAUAGAAAAAUAAUUUAUUUUCUUUUCAUACUGAUAUGGAAUGGAAAUGGAAAAGGUUUUGGUAUUUUUGUUUGGUUGAUAUUGUAAUUAAAUAAUUAGUAAUUCAUUUACAUUCCUAUUACACAAUAUUUAAUAAGUCAUAAUAAUGAAAUUGAAAAUUUAAUUUCUAAUAAUACUCUUUUAUUAAUUGCAUAUGUGAUCUAUUUAAGGGAAUAUAAACUUUUUAGAUAGCUAAUUUCUGUAAUUUACAUUUGACGGUGGGAAUGGAAUAAAAUACCAUCCCUCACUAGGUAAUUCAAUUCAGGUUUUAUGGGGGAGUCAAUUUCUAGUCAUAUCUCAUUUUUUGUUUCUUUUAAUUUCCAAUCUUUGUUUACAACCAAACAACACAAUAAAAUGGAAAAUGAAACCAAUUCCAUUUUCAUACCAUCUUUUCCUAUCAUACAAACAGGGCCUGAAAAUAGGUGAUCAUUGGAUGGAAUUAACAAAAUGAUUGGAUAUUGGAGGAGUUUGGAGGAGUGGUGGAAGACGGUGGUGGUUAGGGGUCAUCAUGGGCUGGGUUAGGGCCGACCCUACCCUAAAAUUUAGGGCUUAGGGUAGGGUCAGGUAGGGCUCGGUCAAAGUCAACAAAAUUUAGGGCCGGGUAGGGUAGGGCUGAUGCUUGAAUAUGCAAGCCCUUAUUCGUCCUAGCGGCCCAUUUCGUUAGGGUUAAAAGGGCCGGGUAGGGCCGACCCUUUAAAUAAGGCUAAAUAGGGCCGAGAUGGGCUAAGUCAUUUUUUUUUCUUUUUCUUACAAUUUAACUCAAUCCUCAAUGAUUAUAUUACUUAUAUGUAAUACACAUUAUUUUGUUAUUUAACAUACAUGCAUAUGCAUAUACAUUAUAUUUAACUUCGGACAUCUAUAUAUAAAUAUUAAUCUAAGAGGUUAUACUCAUAUCUCAUGAAUUAUCUCUCGAAAAUCUAAAUCAUCAAAAUACAAUAGUUAUUCAACGAAGCAAAAGAAAAUCAAAGAAAUAAGCUAGAAAAUCAAUUACAAAAAAGAAGAUUAGUUGUAUUAUAUUUAAAAAAAAUAAUAGACAUAUUAAAACAAUAGAAAAAAUAAGAAUUUUUUAGGGCUUAAAGGGCGGGCUUUUAGGGCCGGGCCGGGUUUGACCCUAAAGGGCUCAAUAAGGUAGGGCCGUAGGGUAGGGCCGGGUUUCAUUUGUUUGACCAUUGCCCUACCCUAUUUGAGAAGGGCUACGGCCGGCCCGCCCUAAUGGAGGGCCGGGUAGGGCUUCGGCCCUAGAGGGUAGGGCGGGUUUUAUGGCGGGCUAGGGCCGAAGGGCCAAAUGAUGAGGUCUAGUGGUGGUGAUGCCUAGAAAUGAUCUUUCCUUCCCAAAAAUAAAAAACAAUAAAAAAAUAAGUGAUCUUCCAGCAGUCUAACGCAUAAUUACAUACACCAAUAUGUUUGAGAGUAAAUUUACACCCUCUAGAUUUGUAGCAUAUCAAACCAUUUAUGUGGUUCGUCGUGGAUACGAUCGAAUAUCUAAGGCAUAUUUGAGGCAAACCGGGCUACUUAUCGGUAUAAUGUUGAUUAUCAAAUAUUUUGGUAAUUAAUGAUAUAUUAAUUGUUUGCCUGCAAAGUGACCUUGGAAGGGAUCUUGACGUGUGCAUGCUAGUGAUCAAGAUUUGUUACCUUUGCAAUUAAGGUAUCGUGGUAUAAUUGGGGUUGAUGCAGUACAUAUAUCUACGGCCAAGAAGCAUGCAAGAGAUACAAUUAUAUUAUUAUGAGGAUUCAUUCCUUAUUGGUAUAUGCAUGGAAUGAUCACGUCCAGAAAACUUUUCAAGAGCAAUUAUAUUGCUUAGAAGACUCACGGUGCUAUCUAAUCAAUUAAGGUUUCCUUGCCUUAAUUGUAUUUGAAGAUAUCCACGUCAAGAAGAUCUUCAAGAAUUAUAUAUUGAGGUAAAUACCUUUACCUAAACUUCGUAUCUAGUAUGAUACGUGAACCGAUACAUGCGGUUCAAUUAAGUAAAUAUAUUUAUUUUCUAUUGGGUAAUUACUAGCGGAAUAUUUGCCUUGAUAUGCAAGUUAUUCGCGAACCUAUUCUCUGUAUAAGCGAACGAGGAGAACCCUGACAAUUCAACAAAACUCUGCAUCACUGCAAAUUGGACGCCUCCCCAGUUCUUACUUCAUCUCAAUCCCAAACCAAUCCUUAUCAACCUUAUCUCAAUCCCAAAACAAACCUCAAUUCCUUUGUUCAUCACAACGAUAGAGAUGGAUAUGCCGAUCUACCUACAGUUCGUCAACUUUGAGUAUGACGCUGCUAGGCAACAACUUAACCACUGAUUUGGACGGCGACUUAACGGAUGGACCUAAUUGUGUGACAUUGGAUAGUUAAUGGAGUAAUCGAUUGAAAUUAAAAAUUAAUGGAGUAAACUGUCGAGCGCAUGAAAGUUAAUAGAGUGACCAGUAAUUAAUUCAAAAUAUAUCAUCGUCUAGAUACUAAACUUUGAGACAUAUCCUAUUACUUCCUUUCCUCACAUCCUCAAGGCCCAAACAGCAAAAUAUCCUCAAGGCCCAAACAACAAAAAGAAAAAAGACGGGAAGAUAUAUAUAAGCCAAAACCUAGAUCCCUCUUGGCUUCAACCUCGCAUCCCAAUCUUAUCAAACCUCAAAACAAGGCUGGCUCAUCUCAAUCCCAAACCAAUCCUUAUUAACCUCAUCUCAAUCCCCCAAAGCAAACCUCAAUUCCUUUGUUCAUCACAACCAAGAACAGAGAGAGAUGGAUAUGCCGAUCUACCUACACUUUCUCGACUCUGAGCCUGACGCUCCUAGGCCCGGUGAAAGGCGUCAGACCGGCCCUCAUCAUCGGUGGUAUGUGAUCGAGGAGAUAGGUGAUCAAGAAACAGCCCCAGAUGAUGAGUUGGGGGAGGAUCUCUGGAUCGAUAAAAGUGAACAAGAUAGAGUCAGACGUCUGCGUCUUCCCCAUUUAAUUCAUGAUGUCCUUUAUGCCGCUUUCGUCGCCUCCAAGUCCCGUUUAUUCUUCAUCGGUGGCCGUACCGUUAGGAGGGAGGAGGGUAUCGAUGUCGAUAAUGGAAUUAUCCACAUCGACUUGCAGGACGACCUCUGUUGGAAGAGAUGCGGUAAUUGGGGUGAAGAUAUCCAAUGUGCGAUUGAGGCCGCGGUUUCCGAAGACGGUAAUUCGAUUGUGGUGGUGGCUGAUCAGGUGUUCCGCUUCCGCUGCCACGACGUCCAAGUAGGGAAAGCUUACCCCCUGCGUUCUGAUUUUUGGCCAAGAUUAUUGCUUGCUAUUUCUGGGCCCACUAUACUCACGUAUAAGCCUAGUCGAUCGGACAGCGACAGACCGGAUCAUUUGGGCUAUUAUAAUAUGGAAAAUAAAUCUUGGAACAUAAGCAAAGACGUUACCAGUGGCCCCAUCUUUGCAAAAUGGGCCUUUAAGCCGUCGGUGUUCCGCCGCUCCGUGCUGGUGAGAAAUUCGUUUCUGAUAUACUUUGGACUUAACAGUCCCAGUCCCAUGGUGCCGGACUCUGGUCCGGCUUUGUAUGUUUAUGAUAUUCUUCGUUGUGAAUGGCUCCCCGAACCAGUCAGGGGACUCCGAAAGGAUGGCAUCAUCUUUCCCUCGGAAACUGGAUGGCCUAUCUAUUCCCCAUACCUGAUGCAAGUCCGGAGAGAUGCACUGAAAUUGGCUCUUGUUUGGUCC
rnacentral:lncRNA from 1 species